rnacentral:lncRNA from 1 species
ACUGAACCCUUCUCUCAGUUAGUGAUAACUGCAUCAAUGUUUCUUCCAGCAUGCCAGCAAACAUCCAAGUCAAG